rnacentral:sRNA from 1 species
GGCCGCGGCGUCGCGUCGGAACGUGACUGGACGGUAGUGUGCUGGCCUCCGGGAGAACCGAGCGCUUCCGGUAUGGAACGCCGUGGACUCCGGGCACUGCCUGCAGACCUACUCCCUGCACACAGAGGCAGUGCGGGCCGCCCGGUGGGCUCCCUGUGGCCGGCGCAUCCUCAGUGGUGGCUUUGACUUCGCGCUGCACCUAACAGACCUUGAAACAGGAACCCAGCUAUUUAGUGGUCGAAGUGACUUUAGAAUCACUACCUUGAAAUUCCAUCCAAAAGACCACAACAUCUUUUUAUGUGGAGGCUUCAGUUCUGAAAUGAAAGCUUGGGAUAUAAGGACUGGCAAGGUGAUGAGAAGCUACAAGGCGACCAUCCAGCAGACCUUGGACAUCCUGUUCCUCCGGGAAGGCUCCGAGUUCCUGAGCAGCACAGAUGCUUCCACCCGGGACUCGGCUGACCGCACCAUUAUUGCCUGGGAUUUCCGGACCUCUGCCAAAAUCUCCAACCAGAUUUUUCACGAGAGGUUCACCUGCCCCAGCCUCGCCUUGCACCCGAGAGAGCCUGUGUUCCUGGCACAGACCAAUGGCAACUACCUGGCCCUUUUCUCCACUGUGUGGCCCUACCGGAUGAGCAGACGGCGGCGCUAUGAAGGGCACAAGGUGGAGGGCUACUCAGUGGGCUGCGAGUGCUCCCCA